CGCCAAAGCGCCCGGACAGCGAGGGGCCCAGCGGUGUGGGAGGCAGCAGUGGCACAAGGGCAGGGACCAGAGGACAUCGGGAGGGGCUUCAGGCCAGCCACAUCUCUUUCUCUGCAGGCCUCCUAAAUAAUGGUGGUGUGUUUUCUCUCUAAUGGCAUGGAGAAAGGCUGUCUUCUGCUGGCUUCAUUGAUCAGAAGUCCUUCUCAGGGGCCAACAAUGUGAUGUAGCAGGUAAAGCUGUCACCUGUAGUGCAUCCCAUAUGGGUGCCGGUUCAAGUCCCGGCUGCUCCACUUCCCAUCCAGCUCUCUGCUGUGGCCUGGGAAAGCAGUAGAAGAUGGCCCAAGUCCUUGGGCCCCUGCACCUGCAUGGGAGACCUGGAGGAAGCUCCUGGCUCCUGGCUUCGGAUCAGCACAGCUCCGGCAGUUGCGGCCAAUGAGGGAGUGAACCAGCGGAUGGAAGACCUCUCUCUCUCUCUCUCUCUCUCUCUCUGCCUCUUCUUUCUUUGUGUUACUCUUUCAAAUAAAAAUAAAUAAAUCUUUAUAAAAAGAGAAGUCUUUCUCUGCCUUACUUGUCAGGGAGAUAUUAACCCACAGUACUUACCAUUAACUUACAACCUUUUUCCUUGAUGGCAUUAAUCCUUCCACAGUUCUCCUGUGUACUUUGUAGGUAGAGAUCCAAUUUAAUUUUUUUCCUCUCUAGUGAGACAAUUUUGAUAACACCAUCUUCUAAGCAAUGUGUGCUUUUGUCAUUAAAUUGAAACACAAGAUUUACUAUGUAUCAAAUUCUCAUCUAUAGGAAUAAACUAUUUCUCAGUUCUUUAUUCUGUUCCAUUUGUCCAACUUUUGUUCUUGUGCCAGUGCCAUAUUUAACUUAAAAAAAAACUGAGAUGUAACACAAAGAAAAACACACAAAAUGUAAAUAUACCACUUAAUGACUUAUAAUGGUCACCUAGGUUACUCCACUCAAGAUUAAGAAAUGAUCACUGACAGUAACCUCAAAAGUCUCUGCAUGUUGCAUCUCAAUCAUAAUGCCUUUCUACUACCAUUCCAGUGGCUAUCUUCCCAUGCAUCCAUAAAUGCUAUACUUUAGUCUAUUUUUUAAACUUUAUAUAAAAAGAACUGUACACCACACAUUCUUUUAUGCCUGGUUAAUUUCAACAUGAAUUAUGACAUUCAUCCACAUUGUUGUGUAUAAAAGCAGCUUAUUAUUUUCAUUUCACUCCAUUUUCUGUGGUAGGUUAAAGAAAUGUCUACAAUCCUUUAUUCCUCCCUAUAGCCAAGCCUUUUGCAAUGUGACCUUAAGGCUCCUCCCAUCAAGAGAUGGCAUCACUUCCCUUGAAUCUGUGCUGGUAUUGUGACUUGUUCAGGUGAAAUUUACCACAUACCCACUUGAGCUUAGGGCUCCAGAGGUCUUUGCUUCUGCUCUGUGCCUUGGGACUCCUGGCUCUGCCAUGUGAAUAAGUCUGCACCAGAUGGCUGGACAAUGAAAUAUGUGGACCAGAGCUGAGUUAGCCUGGUUGUCUGAGCUGCAGCCUUAGAGAUGUGAGUCUAGCUAAGAUUAGCAAAGUUGACUCACAUCUGGUCACAGGUGUGUGAGGCAGCUCAACUGAAACCAGAACAAUCUACCUGCGGAGCUCAUCCAUGGAAUGGUAAACUAAACACAAAGGUUGUUCUUUUAAGCCAUUGAGUUUUGGGGUGACUUAUUAUACACAAUAACAAGUUCAUAUUUCAUUACAUAUCUAUGCCACAAUUUAUCCAUUCUAUUUUUGAUAGAACUUCAUAUUGUGUUUAAUUUUUGGUUUCUAUGAAUUUUGCUGCUACAGAACAGUCUUAUCAAGCCUUAUAGUGUGCAUGAACAAACUCAAAUAUGCAAAAAUAAUUUGCAGUAUUAUAUAUUAGCGACACAACGAUGGAAAACAAUUAAAAAGAAAGAUGCCAUUAACAAUGUCAUAAAAAUAUCAAAUAGAGGUCAAGCACUGUGGUGUAGCGAGUGAGGCCACUGCCUGCAGUGCCAGCAUUCCAUAUGGGUGCCAGUCCCGGCUGCUCUACUUCCCAUCCAGCUCUCUGCUAUGGCCUGGGAAAGCAAGUUCUUGGGACCCUGCCCCACGUGGGAGACCUGGAAGCUCCAGGCUCCUGGCUUGGGAUUGGCUCAGCUCCAGCCAUUGUGGCCACUUGGGGGAAUAAACUAAAUAAAUAAAUCUUAAAAAUAAAUAGGGUCAGGCAUUUAAUCUAGUGGUUAAGACGUUUGUAGCCUAUAUCCUAGUACCUGAAUUCAGAUACCUAGCUCUGGCUUCUGAUUCCAGCUUGCUGCCAAUGCAAACCCUAGAGGAGAUAGCUUAAAUUACUGGGUUCCUGCCAUCCAUGAGGGAGUCAGGGAUUGAGUCCCAGGUACCCAGCUUUGGCUCCCUAACUGUUGUGGUCAUCUGGGAAGUGAACCAUCAAAUGGGAACUCCCUCUCUGUCUCUCUUCUUCUGUGUCUCUCUCAAAUAAAUAAAUAGAUUUUAAAAAUAAAUAAGAAUAAAGAAAACAAAACAGGUGCAAGUCCUUUGUGCAGAUGUCUUUAAAAUUACUAAGAGACAUUAAAGAAAGACUCACCAAAUGAAGAAAGAUGUGUCCAAGGUUGGUUGGCUCAAUAUCAUAUAAAUUCCCAAACUCGCCUAUAGAUCCGCUGAAGUUCCAACAAGUUUGUUGAAUUGUUUCUAAUGAGAAGUCUUUUGUAAGCCUCUGCAUAUAUUUCUUUUAGCACUGACUUUAGGAUUUCCUUUUUAUUUUUUUGUUUACAGAAGUUUGAAUGUCUCUGCAUGUCUGUGUGUUUUAUCCAUACUUAUUAUGUUUUAUCCCUAUUUAUUCUGCUUAAAGUUCCUUAAGAUUCCUGUACUGUGGGUUUGAUACCUUUAUUCAUUUUGAGAAAUAAUUGGCCAUUAUUACUUCAAAUAUUGCUUCUGCUCUGUUUCCUCACUCUUAUCAUUCUUGGAU